UGGGCUUCCCGAAUCCUGAUUCCUAGCUUGGCAUCCUGUGCAAGUCACUCCUCCCGGGUUCUUGGGUUUCACAGACUCACUAAAAGGGUUGAAGUUUGUUGCAAACCUCCUAUGGAAAGGUUCUAGCCACCAGAGAGAAAAGCCACACACCAAACGCAGAAUCUGGAAUAAACAGUGCUCUUCGAGACAUGAGCCCUUCCAGGUUGGUUCCCAAAAGAACUCCAUUCACAUGCUGCACAACAAUGUUUUGGUCUACAUAGAAGAUGGUGGUCCACAGGCUGUGGUGGUGGCACACGCCUUUAAUCCCAACACUCGGGAGGCAGAGCCAGGUGGAUCUCUGUGAGUUUGAGGCCAGACUGGUCUACAGAGUGAGAUCCAGAACAAGCACCAGAACAAGCACCAAAACAACACAGCAAAACCCUGUCUCAAAAAAAAAAAAAAAGAAAGAAAGAAAGAAAAGAAAAGAAAAAGAAAGGUGGUGGUCCAUGAGUUAAUGGAACUGCACAAUUCAUCAUCAAGUGAUAUCACAACAAUCCUCACAGUGCAAUGCAUCAUGUACAGGUCUAUUUGGAUGUCAGCAAAAACACAUCCAUUAUGCUUUCAGUCACACAGAAGUAUGGUGCAAGCAGGGCAUGGAAGCUCAUGCCUAUAGUACCAGCACUCAGGAGGCUGAAGCAGGAGGAUUACUAUGACUUGUUGACCAAUCAAGGUUAUAGAAUAGACCCUGUCUCAAAAGAACAAAAAGAAGGCUGGGAGGGACAUGCUCAAAGUAUAUUAUAUACAUGUAUAAAAAUGUCCUUAUGUAACCCAGUACCAUGUACAAUCAAGAUGCAGCAAGGGGGUAAAUUGUUAAAAACAGUACUCACAAUUACGUGCAGUAUAAUACUUGGUAGUGAUAAUGAAUGCUGUUACUACUUUAUGUAUCAUUGCCACUUCAGAGAGCAUAUUCCUUUUACUUAUUAAAAAAAGUUAACUGUAAAACCAUGCUGGGUUCUGCAUGCAGCAGACUCCAUAGCUUGUGUUUACUGUAUCUCUUAAUUCCAAGAGACAUCAGAGCUGCAUGGCUGUAAUCCCUGUACUUGAGAGGUUGAAACCAGAGGAUCACUGUGAGUUCCAGGCCUGUCUGGACUACAUAGCAAAAUCCUGCCAGAUCAAAAAAAAAAAAAGUGUGUGUGUGUGUAAGACAACAUCAAGUGAGUAACUUGUAUGUGCUAUUUUGAUUUGUACAAGUAGGCUUAGGGUGGUCAUACAACAAAUCACCAGAUGAUAGAUACAUUUUUCAGAACCUACCCAUUCAUUACAUGACAGAUGACUGUACAAUCCACACCCACAGACAGAUGUGCUACAUAGCAAAGGGGCCCCGACUCCAGCUAUCCGUUACGACACAUAUGCAUGUAUGUAUAACAUACAUCUAUUUCCACUCAGAUUAUUUAGUGAUUUAUGACAAUCAGCAAACCAUGUUAGUUCCAUAUGCAGACACUUGGCUGUGGGGCUUGGGCUAUGGCCAUUAGGUUGUUUUGAAAAGAUCUGCUCUUCCAGCUUUGGAAGUGAACUAAGAAAAGAGAAAGGCAAACAAACAAACAAACUACCAGCAUGGUAAAGAAACACCCGAGCUAAUACUGACUGCCAAGAGACACUGACUGCCAGGUGUGAUGGUGACGUCUUCCUGUUUUCCAAAGGCCCUUAGAACCACUGUGAGAGAGGACAAGUUGCUGGUCAGGGACUCAUGGACCAGCCUGCCAUGGAUGGUCAAUAUAUGGGGUGGGGCUGAAUUAAACAACGGGACAUUAACAGGGCAUUGCUGAACAGUGAUGGGGGCACUAAGCAUUUCGUGGUGAUUUAAUACAAAGUGGUCACUAGGACACUGAGGCUACUUUUAUAAUGUGCCACAUCGAUGACAAUGCACGUGUUAAAAGUUAGAAUACAGGUUAUGAAUCAAGACGUUAUAACCAGAACGCUCCCCGCCACUUUCCUUGUUACUCUAGGCAAGGCCAUCUGUCCCUGUGGGUGUCACCAUAUCAAGUGUAAGGGAGUGACUCCCACCUAAGGGAUUCCCAUCGGCACUAAUGGCGUCAAUGUCACUGUCAAUAAUACGCCAACGGAGCAUCGGUGAGAUGAUGUCUGAGCUAACUUAGGGUAAUAGCUACCAAAUCUCAUUUCCUACAAACAGAUAACACAACCAAGCAGCAGCAGCACAGCAGUCUUGUUUUUUAACAAAUUAAAGGCACACGAUAAGCAGAAGACCCAGGUUCAAAUGGCAGUUCUUGUUACUUUCUCACUUUGUGACCUGAGGGAAGUCAUUUCCCCAGUGGCGAGUGAUUUGGUAACCUCCAGUGUCCCACAUUCACCUUCCCAAACACACGUCCGGUUGCAGACUCCCAAUGUGACCUUAUUUAGAAAUAGUCUUUGUGCCAGGGAGAGGGCUUGGUGGGCAAAACACUUGCCACACAAACGUAAAGAUCUGAGCUUGGUUUGGGUUCCCAGAACCCACAUAUAAAGUUGCAUGCCUUUGUAAUCCCAGCACUCCUAGAGCAAGAAAAAGGAGCUGGAGACAGGAAAAUGGCAGAAAGCUCAUGGGUCAGGUAGUCUGGCUUAUGCAGCAGCAAACUAUGAAAGGCCCAAUCUCCAACAGGAUAGCAAGUGAGGGCUGAGAGCCGAGGUUGUCCUCUGACAAGUGUGCUGCAGCUUGUAACUGCUUACACUUACACACACACACACACACACACACACACACACACACACACACACCCUGACACCCCGACAGACAGACCCUCUGACCCACAGAAUUAACAAGAAACAGGUGUAAGGAAGGGUCUCAAGAUCACACUGGAUUUAGGGCUGUUGUCAUCGUAAGAGAAAGAGGGAAGUCACAGAUAUGGAGGGAGGGUGACCAUAGAGACAGAGACAGAGGACACCGGCAGACCCCAGAAGCUAGAAGAGGCAAGGGAGAGUUCUCCUCUGGGACUUGGGAAGGAACAUGACCCUGCAGAUACACUGAUUUUAAACUUCUGGCUUCUAGAAACGGAAGAGGAUACAUUUCUUGUGUGGUUUUGUUUUGUUUGUUCUGUUCUGUUCUUGAGACAGGGUUUCACUAUGCAGCCCUGCUUGGUUUGGAACUUACUAGGUCAACCAGGCUGGUCUUGAACUCAGACACAUACCUGCUUCUGGAACUAAAGAGCUGAUGUGAAUGACAGUUCAGCUAGCAUAAGAAUGAAGAAAGCAAAACGGUUGGAGGCCAUUGUUUUGGACUGAGACCUUGCAUUCGGCCCUCAAGAGACCAGAGCAAAUCAAAUGGAGUCACUCGUGAGAAACGGCACUGAUUAAACUGACUGUAAGGAAGUGCACAGGUCUCAAAACAGACGAGCUUUUCCUGAAAACAGGACACUCCAGUCUAUAAUCAGUCAGUGCAAUAAUCCAUAGGACCUUGAAAAAACAAUCUUUUAAUCCUUGAAGGAAAAUAAAGGAACCUUUAGUAGCCCGAUGGUCACCAACUGGCUCCCCCACCGGCUGUUUCCUUGCCCCACCUCACAAAAUCCUCUGUUGUGACACCCCCCCUCAGGGGGAGGGGGUUAUUGUUCCCAUCUGUAAAAAGGAGAUGCCUCCCUUCAUAAAUUGCAAGCAAAAGUCAAUUAAACUUGUUUUUGUUGUUGUUUUUUGAGACAGGAUUUUUUUGCCUAGCCCUGGCUGUCCUGGGACAUCAAUUAAACCUGUAACUAAACUUGUUAUGAUACUGUGUUUGGACAAGUAGCUUGUAAAAUGGGUACAGGGCCCAUAUAGAAAACGACGUCAUGGCUCUGUGAGUGGCUGCGUUGGGGGAGCACUCUGGAAAGCUGAGGAGGGACAGGGAGUAUGGGGGCCCUCAGGUGAGAACAGUUCGAGGGACAUUAUCAAGGCAGGCAGCGGCCACAUCAGCCUCUGGCCUGGGAAUGAUUUGCUGAGGAUGUGUGAGGUGCACAGCAAAAGCCUUGGAUGGGGAAUCAGAGCACAAGGGUGGGCAUGUGUACCCCACUUCACUGAGGAUAUCUCCUAGGGCUCCAGAGGGCAGGUAAAGAGGCUCAACUGAAGGUUACCUCUCCCACACCCGAGGGUGGGAGAGGAAUUCCCACUCAUUAACUCCUUUUUUGAGAUGUGUCUCACUGCAGUCCUAGAUGGCCGGGCGGGAAUCAAGGCAGGCCCUGUGGCCUCAACCUCACAGAGACCCACCUGUCUCUGGCUCCUGAGGGCUAGGAUUGAGUCGGCACCACUGCGCCCACAGCUCCCGACAUUUUAAAACAGUGAACAAGGAUGGACUGAGGCAGACCACGCUCACAAGGCUAUCACGGGGAAGAGUUCCUAAGGGGGAUUUGGCGAUGUGUAUUAAGACUAAAGCUAUGUCCAAGCUUGGAGCUGAGACUGCCCCUUCUGGGAAUGUACUCAAGGAACUGAUCAGGAAGCCAAAAAUCCUUCACGAAUAAAGAUUCUCACUGCCAUUCUAACAGCCUUUCAAGAAGGGAGAAAAUGGUUGAAGAGAAAAAUGGCUUGAGAACAGCAUAGAGGCCGGGUCGGAGGCUGCUGAAGCAUGUGAGGGAGGGCCUGGACCUGCUAAGGCGCCGCCCUGGCAGUCCUGCACAGCGCUCGACUCCGUGGGAGGCAGGUGGCACCUCGCUCUGCAGGCCAGGCUGCUCCAGAACCCACUUUGGAGCCCAGAUUGCCUGCAAAGAUCCUCAGUCUUUGCCUUUGGAGCACUAAGAUGACAGAUGUGAGUCAGCUCUCUGAAACAUCUCCACGCCAAGUAAAGACAAAGGCUUCAUUUACACGUGAGUCCUGAGAGUGUAUGCAUAAGGCAUACUUCAGGAACUCCACCACUGGGGACACCGAGCACAUCAGGCCUCAAACAUGUAAACAAACUGAGUCUGGGCUUUCCAUGGCAACAAGCCCAAAAUGGCCUUUGUCUACAUAUGGAACUUCUUCUGUACUUCUUUAAUAGUUAGCUUUUAAACACGUGCCGCCUUGUUUUUGAAAGGCUGGAUUAUGUUCAGGUCUGCUAAUCACGAGACAGAGUGGGCAAGCAGACUGUCUACACCAGAGGGCAGCGAGGGGCGCCAGCCUGAACACUGUCACAGAGGUAGAGCUGGGCCAGGCAGAAAGUGUGGGAUCUCUGCUGCACCCCUGAAUAUCUCAUCGCUCUGAAAUUCUCCUGUAGGUUAGCAGCUUAGGAUGUCCACCUUUGGGUGUCCCAUAAGUACAGUGGUUCAGGCCAUGAGAACUCUCCAAAACUUGGAAGGGAUCCAACAUUGCAGAGGUCAGGAUGGAGAGCAAGAGUGACCUCUGUGGUCAGUAGGAACCCCUAGGUUAUUGUAAAAUGGCCUCGGGUCCAGGGCAUCUUUCCUAGACCUCCCUAAAGAGAAAAGCCAAGCCAGGCAUGGUGGUGUACGUCUGUAAUCACAGAACUUGGGAGUUGGAGGCAGGAGGAUCAGGUCUACAAGGUGAUCCUCAGAUACACAGUGAACAUGAGGUCAUCCUGGGUUAAACAACAGUUGAUACCACAGAAACAAAAAAGAUAGAAAAAAAAUCCGAGGUUAGAAAAGUCUGUGAGUGCCCUUCUACAUCAUGGCAGCAUGGGUGGCACAAUGGAGUCCCUUGGGCAGUUGGAUACUAUAAAGAAAAGCAGUCUUUGGGGAACCACAGACGACCCACAUUUCCUCUGCACCCUCUGGUUCUCCUCUCCUCUCUCGAUACCCUCAGACCUCUCUGAAGGCUUUGCUUCAGCCCAUCUACAACAGAAACUUUGUGCUUCUAAGGGACCCACACUUGUGUGGUUAAUACUAUCAACUAGGAAACAUCUGGAAUCCCCUAGAAGACAAAUUCUGGACAUGUCUGUGAAGGAGUUUCUAGCUUGAUCACGGAGGUGAGAAGACCUCCCUCAACUGUGGUGGCGUCAUUCCAUGGGCUGGAAUCCCAGAAUUAGUGAAAAGAAAAAAGUGAGUUAAAGGCCUCUCUUCACCUCUCUGCUUCCUGACUGUGGACACGAUGUGACCAGCUGCUUCCUGCUCCUGCCUCCAUGAUUUUCCUACUGUGAUGGACCCUGGAUCUGACUCUGUCUCCCAUGCACAGCUUUGGUUCCUGGCAGUUGUCAGAAAGAAGGCAAGGAAGAAACCCUGAAGAACAGUAAGAACGCCAUGUUGUCAGGAUCCAAAUAUUAGCAUCUGAAGAACAGUCUUAUGGAGAAGGAAGCAGCUUCUUUUUUGUGAGCCCAGGCAGCACACAGAGUGAGCAGACUAUGAGCAGGUGUGUCUCAGAUCUGUGAGGGGUGGUGCCACGCAGCCGCCUCCUGCAGCUUCGAGACUCAUUCUGAGCGCGCAGCUCCUCUGGGAAGCCUUCCUGGGGGCAGCUGCUCCCACCUGCCAGCAUGCUCCUACCACUGCCCUGCCCUCUCCAUGGCAUGUGGGGGUUUCAGGGAAGCGAUCCACUUGACCUGAGUUCUGCAGAGCCUUGCAGACGCAUGCCAGGAAAUGGUGGUGACGGCUGGCCUUUGAGGUCCCUGUUCUGUCACUUACAAAUCCCACAACCUGGACAAGUUCUUUACCUUUCUGGACUCGCUUUUGUCAUCUAUAAAAUGGGAAUAACAAAAUAUACUAGAGCUUGAAUGCAUGGGUUCAGAAAAAUAUCUGGACUUCUUUUUUGAGCUUCUUUGAGCUUCUGCCCACCCCACCCUGGGUUUCCACAGUGACCUGUGACACCCCUCUCUUUCAGGUCUGGGCAUUUCAGACAGUGUUCUCCACAAGCAUUAGACAGAACUUUUCUCCCUGGCUUUUCAAUUACACUAAAAUGACCCAUCAGUCAAAGUACUUGCUUCUCCAAGGGAAUACAAAUGCUCUGUGAAUUACAUCACCUCUUCCUGAGGGAUAAUCUGCCAAUUGGGAAAGAAGCUCAGAACUCACGACAUCUACAAGGGACCAGCACUACUUCCUGUCCUUGCCACUGGCCUGUAUAGACUGUCUAAGUCAGUCCCUGACUUGAGUGGGGAUUGUGGUACCUACAGCACUGUUACCUUUUCAACCAGCCCUGACAACUGCCAAGAAAGUGUGAUGCUCAGAUGCAAGAUUAAACUCCGCCUCAACUGGUGAGAGGCUCAGAGGAUAAAGGCAUUUGCUGCCGAGGCUGACGCCCUGAGUUCGAUCCCUGGGACUUGCCUGGUGGAAAGAAAGAACUGACUCCUACAGGUUAUCCUCCGACCUUCCACACAAUGUGUUGCGGCGCACAUGCCUGUGUGCAGGUACACCUACCUGCACAUAUACACGCAAUAAAUAAAAUGCAAUAAAAA